rnacentral:rRNA from 1 species
AAAGGAAUAGACGGGGGCCCGCACAAGCGGUGGAUCAUGUGGUUCAAUUCGACGCUACGCGAAGAACCUUACCUGGGCUCGAACGACUAGUGGUACCCUUUAUGAAAGUAGAGGGGACCCGCAAGGGAGCUAGCCGAGGUGCUGCAUGGUUGUCGUCAGCUCGUGUCGUGAGAUGUUGGGUUAAGUCCCGCAACGAGCGCAACCCCUGUCCUGUGUUGCUACUCCGCAAGGAGAGGACUCUCAGGAGACUGCCGUGGAUAACACGGAGGAAGGUGGGGAUGACGUCAAAUCAUCAUGGCCUUUAUGUCCAGGGCUACACACGUGAUACAAUGGUACAGACAGAGGGCUGCAAGACCGUAAGGUGGAGCCAAUCCCUAAACUGUAUCCCAGUUCAGAUCGAGGGCUGCAAUUCGCCCUCGUGAAGUUGGAAUCGCUAGUAAUCGCAGAUCAGCAGGCUGCGGUGAAUACGUUCCCGGGCCUUGUACACACCGCCCGU